rnacentral:rRNA from 1 species
GACGAACGCUGGCGGCGUGCCUAACACAUGCAAGUCGAGCGGAGGCGCCCAAAGAGCAAUCAGAGGGCGUCUGAGCGGCGGACGGGUGAGUAACGCGUGAGCGACCUGCCUCGGACAGGGGGAUAACGCAGCGAAAGCUGCACUAAUACCGCAUAAGACCACAACGUCGCAUGACGGAGGGGUCAAAGGAGAGAUCCGGUACGAGAUGGGCUCGCGUCCGAUUAGGUAGUUGGUGAGGUAACGGCCCACCAAGCCGACGAUCGGUAGCCGACCUGAGAGGGUGAACGGCCACAUUGGAACUGAGAGACGGUCCAAACUCCUACGGGUGGCAG